rnacentral:rRNA from 1 species
GUUCUAAGGGCGUUGAAGCAUGAUCGCAAGGACAUGUGGAGCGCUUAGAAGUGAGAAUGCCGGUGUGAGUAGCGAAAGACGGGUGAGAAUCCCGUCCACCGAUUGACUAAGGUUUCCAGAGGAAGGCUCGUCCGCUCUGGGUUAGUCGGGUCCUAAGCUGAGGCCGACAGGCGUAGGCGAUGGAUAACAGGUUGAUAUUCCUGUACCACCAUUAUUCGUUUUAAGCGAUGGGGGGACGCAGUAGGAUAGGCGAAGCGUGCUGUUGGAGUGCACGUCCAAGCAGUGAGAUUGAGUGUUAGGCAAAUCCGGCACUCUUAAGAUUGAGCUGUGAUGGGGAGAGGAACUUGUUCCUCGAGUCGUUGAUUUCACACUGCCGAGAAAAGCCUCUAGCUAGAAUAACGGUGCCCGUACCGCAAACCGACACAGGUAGUCAAGAUGAGAAUUCUAAGGUGAGCGAGCGAACUCUCGUUAAGGAACUCGGCAAAAUGACCCCGUAACUUCGGGAGAAGGGGUGCUCUUUGAGGUUCACGCUUCGAAGAGCCGCAGUGAAUAGGCCCAAGCGACUGUUUAUCAAAAACACAGGUCUCUGCUAAACCGUAAGGUGACGUAUAGGGGCUGACGCCUGCCCGGUGCUGGAAGGUUAAGAGGAGUGGUUAGCGCAAGCGAAGCUACGAAUCGAAGCCCCAGUAAACGGCGGCCGUAACUAUAACGGUCCUAAGGUAGCGAAAUUCCUUGUCGGGUAAGUUCCGACCCGCACGAAAGGCGUAACGAUUUGGGCACUGUCUCAACGAGAGACUCGGUGAAAUCAUAGUACCGGUGAAGAUGCCGGUUACCCGCGACAGGACGGAAAGACCCCGUGGAGCUUUACUGUAGCCUGAUAUUGAAAUUCGGUACAGUUUGUACAGGAUAGGUAGGAGCCUUAGAAGCGUGAGCGCUAGCUUACGUGGAGGCAUUGGUGGGAUACUACCCUAAUUGUAUUGGAUUUCUAACCCGCAGCACUUAUCGUGCUGGGAGACAGUGUCAGGCGGGCAGUUUGACUGGGGCGGUCGCCUCCUAAAGAGUAACGGAGGCGCUCAAAGGUUCCCUCAGAAUGGUUGGAAAUCAUUCAUAGAGUGUAAAGGCAUAAGGGAGCUUGACUGCGAGACCUACAAGUCGAGCAGGGUCGAAAGACGGACUUAGUGAUCCGGUGGUUCCGCAUGGAAGGGCCAUCGCUCAACGGAUAAAAGCUACCCCGGGGAUAACAGGCUUAUCUCCCCCAAGAGUUCACAUCGACGGGGAGGUUUGGCACCUCGAUGUCGGCUCAUCGCAUCCUGGGGCUGUAGUCGGUCCCAAGGGUUGGGCUGUUCGCCCAUUAAAGCGGUACGCGAGCUGGGUUCAGAACGUCGUGAGACAGUUCGGUCCCUAUCCGUCGUGGGCGUAGGAAAUUUGAGAGGAGCUGUCCUUAGUACGAGAGGACCGGGAUGGACAUACCUCUGGUGUACCAGUUGUCGUGCCAACGGCAUAGCUGGGUAGCUAUGUAUGGACGGGAUAAGUGCUGAAAGCAUCUAAGCAUGAAGCCCCCCUCGAGAUGAGAUUUCCCAACUUCGGUUAUAAGAUCCCUCAAAGAUGAUGAGGUGAAUAGGUUCGAGGUGGAAGCGUAGCGAUACGUGGAGCUGACGAAUACUA